AUUUGAUUGCAUAUGCAAUGUAAAAUGAUUAUCAAGAUCAAGUGAGUUAACAUACCCACAUCACUUUCCAUUGUUACAAUUUUUUGGACAUGUGAUGAGAUCUACUCUUAGCAAAUUUCAAGUAUGCAAGAGUAUUACUCACUAUAAUCUGAGAUUUUAUUUAAAUUGAUAAUUAUCUGAAGCAUGAGAAUAAAUUCACAAUUCUAUAUUCAAAACUUGAACAUACGUUAAAUAAAUAUGUAGCUACAAACAAUGUUUGAAAGAACAUGGAGAUAUUCAACAUCGAAAGGUUACCGUGAUUUCAUCUGAGUAAACCAUUUAAUAGGGAAAAAAACCUUAAGUUUCAUUUCUCAGGUUUUUAGAGGUUAGAGGACAUUUUGCUGUACUCUAAAGAGGGAAAGUUAUGAAAGGAGCAUUUUUAUCCAUUUUGUCAACCUUUUACUUACUCAUGUGCAAAGGAGAAGAAAGAAAUUACUGAACUGAUAAAACCGGAAAAGGGAUUUAACUGUAUUUGACUAAGGACUUUUCUCUUUUUUGUCUCCUUCUACUUUUCUUCAUUAAGACACAUGGAUCAGGUCCCCAACCUAACUUCUGGAGGAAUUCUGAGUGCCUAGGUAUCAGAAUGCUGUUGUAAUUUUAUGAACAAGCAGGUUGCAUGAUGGAAGCCAUAUUUUCAGUGCAUCAUUCUAAAGCAGUAUGAAGCAGGAAAUGGAGGGUAAAGAAAGAAAGGCUAUGGAGGCAAAGAAUAACAAAGCCUGAUGUGAAAAUGGCCAAAAGUUAAAAGAAUAUAAAUUUCACCUUAACUGGUACUAGCAGAAAAGGGUGGAGAUUCUACCCCUUUGGAGUAAGAGUCUUUCUUGUCUUUUCAAUGUUCUAAUGAUAUAUUUGGUGGCAAUAUAUCAUUGGUUUUAAAAAGACUUUCGAGGUGAUGCUAUUAUUUAUUUAUAUUUAAAAAAUUGUCAGCCCAUUCCUCUGGACAAGUAGGUCUAGAAUGGACACCAGAAAUCUGUACUAUGACCAGAUGAUGUUUUUAUACCAGCCAUGUUUGGAAACUGCCUAAUCAGAUUAAUGUGAAGUGUUCUUCCACCUCUUAAGUCUAAUUUCUGAUAAAAUAUUAUGUCACUUUAACAAAUCAUAAAUGGCAAAAUACAUUUUCAUUUGUUUUAAAAAGUGCAUUCACUAUGUCCUAAAGCAGGGGUCCCCAACCCCCAGGCUGCGAAACAGUAGCGGUCCGUGGCCUGUUAGGAACCGGGCCACACAAUGGGACAUGAGCAGUGGGCAAAUGAGCUGAGCUCUGCCUACUGUCAGAUUAGCAGAGCCAUUAGAUUUUCAUAGGAGCAGGAACCCUAUUGUGAACUGAGCAUGCAAGGCAGGUAGGUUGCCCGCUCCUUAUGAGAAUCUAAUGCCUGAUGAUGUGAAGUGGGACAGUUUCAUCCCCAAACCACCCAUCUGCUAACUCUCACCCGCCUCUGCUCCCCAUUCGUGGGAAAAUUGUCUUCCAUGAAACUGGUCUCUGGUGCCAAAAAGGUUGGGAACCCCUGGCCAGAAGGAUAAAUCUUUAAGUGCAAUAAUACCAAGAUGUGGAUCUUUGUAACUUGGCUCAUAGAUAUAUAUCAACAAAUAAUUGUGAUUUUAAUUGCAAUAUCAUAACAUAAAAUUUAUUUACAGAUAGUCCUAGGGGUACAUCAGAUAAUCUCUCUGCCAGAGACUAUUUCUACAUAAAAAUUAUAUAACUGAAAGAUUUUCCCACACUGCUUACAUUUAAAUAACAUUUUGAUUUGAGAUUCAGCUUUUACUAAGAAAGCUAGUAUUAUUUAUCUAUUGUUUUUGCCUCAAAGUCUUUUCUAUUUCUUGAUUAGACUCACCUAACAUAUUAUGGUCUGCAUGACAGUUUAAUCUUGUCACUGUCUGUAAUUAAGUUAUAAUUAGUUUAAAGAUGAACUUUAGUGAAUCUGUAAAACAUUCUUAUCUGAUCGACCUAUUAAUUUUGUCCUUUCUUAGGUCAAGUUGCCACUAUUUAUGAUUAAUUUUUGUGUAGGCUUAGUCUCACAAACUAAAUGUACUAUUCAUAGGUUUGAAUAAUUUAAUACUCAACAAUGUGAAGAUAGGUUAAACUGCAUAUAAAUUUAGGAAGGACAAUAUUGCUUUUGAAACUAAACCUUGAAAAAUUUGAAACUUGAAAAUAUUGUAAUCUUUAAUGUGAUACGAAUAAACAGCCUUUAUUCACUAAUGACAGUUUUUAGACCCCAAAGAUGCAAGAGCUGAACAGCAACUUCCUGAGGCUAUUUUAUCAUUGUGUUUGGCAACAUUAUGACCAUUGAUAUUCCGAGAGAUAAUGUGUCAUCUGACAGGACACAGAACAGCAAGAACAUUUAGUCUGAUGUGUAUCAGCAGGAUGAAUAUAGUAAUAUUUUUAUUGUGACCAUGUCACCUACAAUUUGCAAA
rnacentral:lncRNA from 1 species